rnacentral:rRNA from 1 species
GCCAGCGACGAUAGCACUUUGAAUGUACCAGUUCCCCUUUAAGUUAAGCAACGUUGCGUGUGGUUAGUAACCGGAUGGGUGACCAUCUGCGCUAUCGAGUGCUGCUGGCU